CCUACGGGUGGCAGCAGUGAGGAAUAUUGGUCAAUGGGCGGGAGCCUGAACCAGCCAAGUCGCGUGAGGGAAGACGGUCCUACGGAUUGUAACCCUCUUUUGCCGGGGAGCAACGGGGUCCUUGCGAGGGCCCGAUUAUAGUACCCGGAGAAAAAGCAUCGGCUAACUCCGUGACAGCAGCCGCGUUAAUACGGGGUAUGCGAGCGUUAUCCGGAUUUAUUGGGUUUAAAGGGUGCGUAGGCGGGCUGUUAAGUCAGCGGUAAAAUGUCGGGGCUCAACCCCGGCCUGCCGUUGAAACUGGCGGCCUCGAGUGGGCGAGAGGUAUGCGGAAUGUGUGGUGUAGCGGUGAAAUGCAUAGAUAUCACGCAGAACUCCGAUUGCGAAGGCAGCAUACCGGCGCCCGACUGACGCUGAGGCACGAAAGCGUGGGUAUCGAACAGGAUUAGAGACCCCAGUAGUC
rnacentral:rRNA from 1 species